rnacentral:rRNA from 1 species
AACGAACGCUGGCGGCGUGCUUAACACAUGCAAGUCGAACGAGAAAGCUUCCUUCGGGAAGUGAGUAGAGUGGCGCACGGGUGAGUAACGCGUAGGUAAUCUACCCUUAUAUUUGGGAUAACAUUGGGAAACUGGUGCUAAUACCGAAUGGUCUUCAUUGCUUUGGGGCGAUGGAGUAAAGGUGGCCUCUUCAUGAAAGCUACCGUGUAGGGAUGAGCCUGCGUACCAUUAGCUAGUAGGUGGGGUAAUGGCCCACCUAGGCUACGAUGGUUAGCGGGUCUGAGAGGAUGAUCCGCCACACUGGAACUGGAACACGGACCAGACUCCUACGGGAGGCAGCAGUGAGGAAUAUUGCGCAAUGGGGGAAACCCUGACGCAGCGACGCCGCGUGAGUGAGGAAGGUUUUCGGAUCGUAAAGCUCUGUCCGAAGGGAAGAAGUGUUAUACAGUUAAUACCUGUAUAAUUUGACGGUACCUUCAGAGAAGCACCGCUAAC